UACGGGGGGAGCAAGCGUUGUUCGGAUUCAUUGGGCGUAAAGGGUGCGUAGGCGGCGCGGUAAGUCGGGUGUGAAAUUUCGAGGCUUAACUUCGAAACUGCAUUCGAUACUGCCGUGCUUGAGGACUGGAGAGGAGACUGGAAUUUACGGUGUAGCGGUGAAAUGCGUAGAUAUCGUAAGGAAGACCAGUGGCGAAGGCGGGUCUCUGGACAGUUCCUGACGCUGAGGCACGAAGGUCAGGGGAGCAAACGGG
rnacentral:rRNA from 1 species